GUCUGCAACAGCGCUCCGCAGAAGAAAGAAAAGUAUAAUUUAAAAAAUAUGGCAACGUACGCUUUUAACGUUUUUAGCAACACACUGGACCUCCUCUCGGGCGAUGGUGCGCAUAGAGAGGGGGCAAGCUUUAUAAGACGUAAUAAUACGGUUUUCACGGUGGCUUCAAAGAAUAGCCGGAAGACUCCUCUGCUGCCGCGGCCAGGAUAACUCGGACGUUCAUCUUUCGGUUGAGGUAACAGCGCCCUCCAGCGUGCGGCCGUGGCGUUGCGGGGAAGACGGAGGCGUUCUCAGGACAGAACGCUCGGAUCAAGAUUAAGAAAGAGCUUUAGGAUUUAGAUGAAGAUGAAGCAUCGGCCC